rnacentral:rRNA from 1 species
GACGAACGCUGGUGGCGUGCUUAACACAUGCAAGUCGAACGGAAAGGCCCUGCUUUUGUGGGGUGCUCGAGUGGCGAACGGGUGAGUAACACGUGAGUAACCUGCCCUUGACUUUGGGAUAACUUCAGGAAACUGGGGCUAAUACCGGAUAGGAGCUCCUGCUGCAUGGUGGGGGUUGGAAAGUUUCGGCGGUUGGGGAUGGACUCGCGGCUUAUCAGCUUGUUGGUGGGGUAGUGGCUUACCAAGGCUUUGACGGGUAGCCGGCCUGAGAGGGUGACCGGCCACAUUGGGACUGAGAUACGGCCCAGACUCCUACGGGAGGCAGCAGUGGGGAAUAUUGCACAAUGGGCGGAAGCCUUAUGCAGCAACGCCGCGUGCGGGAUGACGGCCUUCGGGUUGUAAACCGCUUUCGCCUGUGACGAAGCGUGAGUGACGGUAAUGGGUAAAGAAGCACCGGCUAACUACGUG